UGGAGCUGCACAAGACAUCAUGAAUCAAGAGCCACUUAGGGGUAUGCUAGGCACUUCUGAAUGAGCAAAGGGCCUCCAGCAGCUCAAAGCAGGCCACUGAGGUGACACAGGUGCUGGUCAUUGAAUAUAAGUGGACAAAGGAUGAAGCCAAGCAGAAAUCCGAUCAGUUUCAGCCUUGGAAAACCUUAGAAAUCUCCCUGCUUCAGACAGUGCAGCACCACAAGAUGGUGAACUUUUGUCAGCCUGCAUCCUUGAAUUAUUUCCUUCUGACCUAUUGUCCUGUUUACCUACUUCAAAAGAUGAAAGUGCUGACCUGCUUCAUAGAAAUGUUGUUUAAUUAAUACAAGCCCUUCUCAAACAUGAAGAACUAGUACAACUUCUUUGGGAGCUAUGCUGCUAAAAGACAACAUGGGUUUAAAUCUUUAGACUGGAAUAAAUCUAAAAGAGGACAUAAUCGUUGGCUUUCUUCCACUAGUAUUAAAGGACUUUAUAGAUCUUUAAUGAUCUCAGAUGAAAGAAAAUGGAAAAUGUAUGAUCAUUCCAUGACAAGGUGGAAACAUUUCACAGCAGACAGGAACUUUUUCAGUUACCAGCAUUGAAACAGAAUUCCAGGAAUAAGUACUCAGAUG
rnacentral:lncRNA from 1 species